GCCUGGGUGGCUCAGUCGGUUGAGCGUCUGACUUCAGCUCAGGUCACGAUCUCACGGUCUGUGAGUUCGAGCCCUGCAUCGGGCU
rnacentral:tRNA from 1 species